rnacentral:lncRNA from 1 species
GGCUAACGAUGUACUCGGUGAAGGAUCCAAAGACCUGGAUAUCAGUGUUUCUGUAGAUUCUGUUGCUCAGAAUAAUGGACUUCAGGAUACAAUGCAAAAUUCAACCUCGAUGGAUGUUAAAUACAGUGAAGAAAAUGGAAGUGACGUUGCUCUUGGUAAUUAUGGACUUCAGGAUACAAUGCAAAAUUCAACCUCGAUGGAUGUUAAAUACAGUGAAGAAAAUGGAAGUGACGUUGCUCUUGGUAAUAUGCAAAAUGGAAUGGUUUCCCAAGAUCUAAUGAAUGCGUCGGAGCAUUUUC